UACAGAGGUGGCAAGCGUUGUUCGGAAUUACUGGGCGUAAAGGGCGCGUAGGCGGCCUUCUCAGUCAGACGUGAAAUCCCCGGGCUUAACUCGGGAACUGCGUCUGAUACUGGAAGGCUGGAGUUCGGGAGAGGGAUGUGGAACUCCAGGUGUAGCGGUGAAAUGCGUAGAUAUCUGGAGGAACACCGGUGGCGAAGGCGGCAUCCUGGACCGAAACUGACGCUGAGGCGCGAAAGCCAGGGGAGCAAACGGG
rnacentral:rRNA from 1 species